rnacentral:sRNA from 1 species
UCUAAACAUCAACCCAACAAUGUUAGAUCUGUAAAUUUGCUUUCGCAAAUUUUUGGUUCUUCCCUCGCCGGGAUUCGACGGUUCGAAUCCCGGCGAGGGAAGAACCAAAAAUUUGCGAAAGCGGUUCGAAUCCCGGCGAGGGAAGAACCAAAAAUUUGCGAAAGCAAAUUUACAGAUCUAACAUUGUUGGGUUGAUGUUUAGACGAGUUGUAUAAUAUAUAUAUAUAU